UGGCAUCACUGCUGCAGGUCAAAGUCACUGAACUGCCCUCCACUAUUUCACCAGAGGGACUGACUGACACUGAGGUGUUCUUUGGGCCGUCUGGUGGACAAUAUGUAACAACAGUGUAUUAAAUAGUGUUUUUCUUGUUAUUGAAAUAUGAAUUUAAAUGUGAUCCUCUGAUUAAAGAUGAGGUGAACUUACACUGAACGUCCACAGACACAGAAGAAGAGUUGAGACGUCCAUAUUUAUUCUCAGCCUCACAGUAAUAUUCUCCUCUGUCCUCAGAGAUGAUGUUAGUGAUGCUGUAACUCUGUCCUGAUGCUUUUGGUGAGGUUACGUUCUUCUGGUACCAGGUGUAUUUGUCCACAGAGAUGAUGUUAGUGAUGCUGUAACUCUGUCCUGAUGCUUUUGGUGAGGUCACAUUCUUCUUGAACCAGGUGUAUUUGUCCACAGGUGUAUUUGUCCACAGGUGGGUUGGCAUCACUGCUGCAGGUCAGAGUCACUGAACUGCCCUCCACUAUUUCACCAGAGGGACUGACUGACACUGAGGUGUUCUUUGGGCCAUCUGGUGUUGAAGAUGACAGAACAAAUAAGAACCCAUAUACCAUACGUAGGAUCCAUCUCCAACAGGAUAUCUAAGAGGAAACAUCAGUCAUAUUUGACUCCAGACUGGCUUGUCAUGUGAUUAGACUUGUCCUAUUACAGUAAUAACUGUAGGUGAAGUAUUACCUGUGACAGUCAACAUCACACCAGGAAGACCAGAAAAUCUCCCCUUAUCUGUUGUUAUUAAUCUGAAUUUGUAUUCAGCCGAGUCCUUCUCUGUCAGGUGUGUUAUUGUCAUGGUGUGGUGGUUCUCUGUGUUCCUAUUGUACUCCACACGACCUGCAGACCCUGGAUAUGACCUGACAUCUACAGGGUCUUUCUGUGUAAACCAGAAUGAACCUUGUUCUAUAUAACUAGUGGGAUGAGUGUAAGAGGAGGAUAUGUCCACUGUGGAGCCCUUCAAGACACAGAUUCUCCUCUUGGUGUAAGUCACCCUCCAGCAGUUGUGACCCUGAACACCUGAAUCAGAAAGAGGCUCUCUGUUAAUAGUUUUAACUUUUCAUGUCUUGUUUCUGUAGUUGCAAAGUAAAGAAGUAAACUGUUCAUUUCAAGUCAUUUCAGUAUAAAUCAUAACCAUUUGAGCUGUUGGUAUUGCUAGAGUGAAACACUGUGUUUGAAUCAACACUUUUUCCCCCACUUACACACUGCAGGAGAGGGGAGAUCCUCAUGGCCUUUUACAGCACAGGAGAAACUAUCGUCAUAGUUACUGGAGACUGGGUCUUUGUACUGGGGGGAGGUGCUCUCAUCUAGAUGUUGUCCGUUCUUGUACCAGAUGUAUGUGGGGUUGUCAGUCAGAGUACAGGUGGUGCUACAGAUUGAUAUACAGGGCAACUAAAACAUUAUGAAUGAGACCAUACCUGCUACAGACCAGAGAAAGACCACCAACACACUUCCUGCUGUUCUCAAGGCCAUUGUUGCAUCUCCCACCCUGCAGUCUUAGAAACAUAA